rnacentral:tRNA from 1 species
GGAUUGUAGCUCAAUGGUAGAGCACUUGCCUAGCAUGUGUAAGGCACUGGGUUUGAUUCUCAGCACCA